rnacentral:rRNA from 1 species
AUUGAACGCUGGCGGCAGGCCUAACACAUGCAAGUCGAACGAGUGGCGGACGGGUGAGUAAUGUCUGGGAAACUGCCUGAUGGUGGGGGAUAACUACUGGCAACGGUAGCUAAUCCCGCAUACCAUCGGAUGUGCCCAGAUGGUAUUAGCUAGUCGGUGGGGUAAAGGCUCACCUAGGCGACGAUCCCUAGCUGGUCUGAGAGGAUGACCAGUCACACUGGAACUGAGACACGGUCCAGAUUCCUACGGGAGGCAGCAGUGGGGAAUAUUGCACCAUGGGCGCAAGCUUGAUGCAGCCAUGCCGCGUGUAUGAAGAAGGCCUUCGGGUUGUAAAGUACUUUCAGCGGGGAGGCGUUACCCGCAGAAGAAGCACCGGCUAACUCCGUGCCAGCAGCCGCGGUAAUUC